ACACUACCUGGCACAGGAGAUACUGUGAUCACGAAGGCGGUUCUCCCAGGGCGAGGCUCACCAUUGCACUCCGGUGGCGCUGACCCCUGCGAUUAACCCAACAGUUAACUCGAGUGUGCAAUUUUUGGUAGUGGGGACUGCGUUCGCGCUAUCCCCU
rnacentral:snRNA from 1 species